rnacentral:rRNA from 1 species
AUGCCUACGGGAGGCAGCAGUGGGGAAUAUUGCACAAUGGGGGAAACCCUGAUGGAGCAACGCCGCGUGAGUGAAGAAGGGUUUCGGCUCGUAAAGCUCUGUUGGUAGUGAAGAAAGGUAGAGGUAGUAACUGGCCUUUAUUUGACGGUAAUUACUUAGAAAGUCACGGCUAACUACGUGCCAGCAGCCGCGGUAAUACGUAGGUGGCAAGCGUUGUCCGGAUUUAUUGGGCGUAAAGCGAGUGCAGGCGGGUUCA